GACGAACGCUGGCGGCGUGCCUAAUACAUGCAAGUAGAACGCUGAAGGAGGAGCUUGCUCUUCUGGAUGAGUUGCGAACGGGUGAGUAACGCGUAGGUAACCUGCCUGGUAGCGGGGGAUAACUAUUGGAAACGAUAGCUAAUACCGCAUAAGAGUAGAUGUUGCAUGACAUUUGCUUAAAAGGUGCAAUUGCAUCACUACCAGAUGGACCUGCGUUGUAUUAGCUAGUUGGUGGGGUAACGGCUCACCAAGGCGACGAUACAUAGCCGACCUGGGAGGGUGAUCGGCCACACUGGGACUGAGACAAGGCCCAGACUCCUAAGGGAGGCAGCAGUAGGGAAUCUUCGGCAAUGGACGGAAGUCUGACCGAGCAAAGCCGCGUGAGUGAAGAAGGUUUUCGGAUCGUAAAGCUCUGUUGUAAGAGAAGAACGAGUGUGAGAGUGGAAAGUUCACACUGUGACGGUAUCUUACCAGAAAGGGACGGCUAACUACGUG
rnacentral:rRNA from 1 species